CCUUUUGCAUCAUGAUUUAGCUAGAAAAAAUAAUGCAAAGCGACCUUAAGUGUUAUUCCCCGAAACUGGACGAGCUACCCCGAGACUGCCUGCCUUAGGGCUAACCCGUCUCUGUGGCAAAAGAGUGGGAAGAUCUCCGGGUAGAGGCGACAGACCUACCGAGCCCAGUUAUAGCUGGUUGCCUAGGAAAAGAAUAGAAGUUCAGCCCUUCCCCAUUUUUACUCAAAUUCUAAUACCCAUCAGACAUGAAGGUCCUGGGAAGGAGUUAGUUAAAGGAGGUACAGCUCCUUUAAACCAAGAUACAACUUUCUUAGCAGGCUAAAGACUAGAGGAAAUCAAGGUAUAUUAUUUUAGUGGGCCUAAAAGCAGCCACC
rnacentral:rRNA from 1 species